rnacentral:snRNA from 1 species
GUCCCCUACCCGGGGACCAUAUAUUAAAUUGAUUUUUGGAGCAGGGAGAUGGAAUAGGGCUUGCUCCGUCCACUCCACGCAUCGACCUGGUAUUGCAGUAUUUCUAGGAACGGUGC